rnacentral:rRNA from 1 species
CAGCACUGGUACAAGGACACGAGGUUCAGCUCUACGGAGGACGAGGACGGGUUCCCGGCGUUCGCGCUCGUCAACAAGGCCACCGGGUUCGCCAUCAAGCACUCGUCUGGGCAGUCUGAGCCCGUAACUCUGGUGCCGUACAAGUACGACCCAGAGGCGGUGGACGAAUCGGUGCUGUGGACGGAGAGCGACGAUGUGGGCGACGGCUUCCGCUGCAUCCGCAUGAUCAACAACAUCCACCUCAACUUCGACGCGUUGGAUGGCGUGACGGAACUCCAGGACGGCACCCCCAUCGUGCUGUGGGAGUGGCUCGAGGGGGCGAACCAGUCCUGGAUGAUCCUGCCGUGGGGCACCGACGGUGGCCUCCAUCCUGCGCUGUCCUCUGAGUGCACCAUGCGCAUCUUCUGCAGCGCAGGCGAGGAGUACAGCAUCGCCGCAAGGGACGGCGCGGUGUGCCUCGCGCCUGCGGACCCCAACGACGACCUGCAGCACUGGGUGAAGGACAUGAGGCACGGUGAAGACAUCAAGGAUGAGUAUGAGCAGCCUGCGUUUGCCCUGGUGAACAAGGCCACCGGUGAAGCCAUCCAGCAUUCCCUGGAAAAGGGCCACCCUGUUCGCCUUGCGGCAUACGACCCGGACUGCCCGGACGAGUCGGUGAUGUGGAGGGAGAGCGAGGACGUCGGCGACGACUUCCACUGCAUCCGCAUGGCGAGCAACAUCCAGCUCAACUUCGACGCCGUCCAUGGCGGCGACGACGAGAGCGUGGUGCAGGACGGCACCACCAUCCUCCUGUUUGACUGGGUUGAGGGAGACAACCAGCGCUGGAGGAUCGUUCCCUGGUGUGAGUAA